AUGGAGGAGUCUGGAUCUCACCGCCACAUCGUCCUCGUAACCCUGGCCCUCGUUGUCGUGCUGCUCGCGCCGUGCGCCGCCGCGUACCCGUUGCUAGCGUGCGGCUCGACGGGCGAGUUCACGGCCAACAGCACGUACCAGGCCAACCUCGGCAUCCUCGCAGCCGCGCUGCCGAAGAACGCGUCCUCCUCCCCGGACCUCUUCGCGACCGGCGCAGUCGGCGCCGUCCCGGACCAGGUCUCGGCGCUCGCGCUCUGCCGCGGCGACGCCAACGCCACGGCCUGCUCCGGCUGCCUCGCCGCGGCCUUCCACGACGCGCAGAACAUGUGCGCCUACGCCAAGGACGCCGCCAUCUACUACGAUCCAUGCGUCCUCUACUACUCCAACACCCCCUUCCUCUCCUCCGUCGACAACGUCAGGUCCAGGACGCAAAUGAACGGCCAGAACGUCACGUCGGACCCCGGCCGGUUCAACCGCCAGGUGGCCGCGCUCGUGGACGCCACUGCCGACUACGCGGCGUACAACUCCACACGGCGGUACGCGUCCGGUGAGGCCGACCUCGACGUCGACAGCGAGUUCCCCAGGGUCUACAGCUGGGCGCAGUGCACGCCGGACCUCACGCCUGCGCAGUGCCGCGGUUGUCUCGCCGGCAUCAUCAAGGGAAUGCCGCGGUCCGCGGACCGCGUCGGGGCCAAGUUUCUUGGGGUCAGGUGCAGCUACAGAUACGAGAUAUACACCAUCCUCGGCGGGCCGGUGAUGGUGCGGCUGGCUGCGCCAGCGCCUGAGCCCGCCGUAGGGCCAACGGUUCCGACUCCAGCAACCCUCGCCCGACGAGGAAAAUGGGGAAAUAAGACGGUAGUUGUUCUAGCAAUUACGCUGCCUCUAGUUGUUGCAAUUCUAGCUAUCACUGCUGUUUGUCUCUGUUAUUCGAGGAAGGGGAGGACAAGACGAGCAAGCAGUGAGCAACCACCUUAUUCGGCUAAUAGUGAGGACAUUGUAAACAUUGAUUCACUUAUCGCCGAUCUACCAACAUUACGUCGUGCGACGGAUAACUUUGCCGCUGCGAAUAAGCUUGGAGAAGGAGGAUUCGGUGCAGUUUAUAAGGGAAACCUUCCUGAUGGCCGGGAGAUAGCGGUGAAGAGGCUCUCCAGAAGUUCAGCACAAGGAAUAGGAGAGCUCAAGAAUGAACUUAUUUUGGUCGCCAAGCUUCAACAUAAGAAUCUUGUCAGGCUUGUUGGCGUAUGCGUGCAAGAACACGAGAAACUGCUUGCCUACGAAUACAUGCCCAAUAAAAGUGUUGACACCAUUCUUUUCGAUCCAGAGAGAAGCAAGGAGCUAGACUGGGGAAAGAGAUUGAAGGUAAUAAGUGGGAUUGCUCGAGGAUUACAAUAUCUUCAUGAGGAUUCGCAGCUGAGAAUAAUCCACAGGGACCUCAAAGCGAGCAAUGUUCUGUUAGACUCCGAUUACACUCCUAAGAUUUCAGACUUCGGCUUGGCAAGGCUAUUUGGAGUAGAUCAAACAAGGGAGGUGACAAACCGAGUUGUUGGGACAUAUGGAUACAUGGCCCCAGAAUAUGCGGUGCGUGGCCAGCUUUCUGUAAAAUCGGACGUGUUUAGCUUUGGCGUUUUGAUGUUAGAAGUGGUGACAGGAAGACGAAGCAGUUGCUCCUGGAACUUCGACGAGUCUGUCAAUCUCUCAAGUCUGGUAUGGGAACACUGGACCAUGGGUACAACUGCAGAGAUCAUAGACUCAUCUCUGAGAGGCCAUGCCCCAGGAAACCAGGUAGUGAAGCUUUUUCACAUCGGCCUGCUCUGUGUCCAAGAUAACCCAGCAGAUAGGCCUACGAUGUCCACUGUAAAUUUCAUGCUUAGCAGUAACACUGUGUCUCUACGGUCUCCAUCGAAGCCAUCAUUUCUCAUGUGCAUGAGCCCUACUUCUUCUGAGUCGACCCGUAUGCCAGGUAUGGCAUCACCAAAUGAAGCUUCAAUCACGGGGCUUGAACCAAGAUGA
rnacentral:rRNA from 1 species